rnacentral:rRNA from 1 species
UACGUAGGGUGCGAGCGUUAAUCGGAAUUACUGGGCGUAAAGCGUGCGCAGGCGGUUAUGUAAGACAGUUGUGAAAUCCCCGGGCUCAACCUGGGAAUUGCAUCUGUGACUGCAUAGCCAGAGUACGGUAGAGGGGGAUGGAAUUCCGCGUGUAGCAGUGAAAUGCGUAGAUAUGCGGAGGAACACCGAUGGCGAAGGCAAUCCCCUGGACCUCGUACUGAC